rnacentral:lncRNA from 1 species
CUUGCAGGGCGGUGCCAUCAUUGCUUCCAUCUUGUGAAAGAGCAAAUUAAGGCUUUGGAAGGUUGAGUGCCUUGCUUCAGGUUGCACAAGUGGUAAAGUCAGGACCUCGAAUACCAAGUUCACACUUUUAAUCACCCAGCUUUCUAGAUGAGCAUGAAGGAGUGGUUGACAAUGAGGAUGGCAAAAGCUUCUCAAUUUAGAUGUGUGACCUUCACUAACAGAACAACGGUCAGCUGGGGUGACUCUGCCUCUGACCUCGGGAUGGGUUCCGGUGUGCUCCACGAGUCUUAUUCUGGGACCCUUGCUGAUGGCGCAGUGACAGCCUAGAGCCUACUCUUCCAAUGGUGAUCAAGGGAGCUCCAAAAGCCAAGACAACCCAUGUACGUGUGAGCACAUGUAAGCCUGUCUGUGUCACAUUAGAGAACAUUGCAUUGACCAAAGCAAGGCGUGGG